GAGGUAGUGACAAGAAAUAACAAUACAGGGCAUCCAUGUCUUGUAAUUGGAAUGGAUAGAAUUUAAAUCCCUUUAUGAGUAUCGAUUGGAGGGCAAGUCUGGUGCCAGCAGCCGCGGUAAUUCCAGCUCCAAUAGCGUAUAUUAAAGUUGUUGCAGUUAAAAAGCUCGUAGCUGGAUUUCUGGCAGGGGGCAACAGCCCGCUUGCAGCGUGUGCUUGCCGUCCCCUACCAUCCUUCUGUUAACGCGCCAGGACAUUCACUUGUCGGGCGCGGGCUCAGAUAAUUUACCUUGAGAAAAUUAGAGUGUUUCAGGCAGGCUGACGCCGGGAUACAUUAGCAUGGAAUAAUGGAAUAGGACUUUCGCCUCUUCUGUUGGUCUGAGGGGUGAUCGUAAUGAUUAAUAGGGAUAGUUGGGGGCAUUAGUACUUAACUGUCAGAGGUGAAAUUCUCGGAUUUGUUAGGGACUAACUUAUGCGAAAGCAUUUGCCAAGGAUGUUUUCAUUAAUCAAGAACGAAAGUUAGGGGAUCAAAGACGAUCAGAUACCGUCCUAGUCUUAACCAUAAACUAUGCCGACUCGGGAUCGGGGGCGAGAGUUAUCCGCCUUCGGCACCGUAUGAGAAAUCAAAGUCUUUGGGUUCCGGGGGGAGUAUGGUCGCAAGGCUGAAAUCCAUAUGACUAGU
rnacentral:rRNA from 1 species